rnacentral:rRNA from 1 species
UACGGAGGGUGCAAGCGUUGCUCGGAAUUAUUGGGCGUAAAGGGUAGGUAGGUGGUCUCAUUUGUCUGGGGUGAAAGCCUUGAGCUUAACUCAAGAAGUGCCCCAGAAACGGUGAGACUGGAGUCCUGGAGAGGGUCGUGGAAUUCCCGGUGUAGCGGUGAAAUGCGUAGAGAUCGGGAGGAACACCAGAGGCGAAGGCGGCGACCUGGACAGGCACUGACACUCAACUACGAAAGCGUGGGGAGCAAACAGG